GAAAGAUUGAAGCUUGUGCCCUCGUGCUUUCAGCGAAAAUUUUCGUCCUAAAAACUUUCAUUAUUUUUGUAGAAUCUUAUCCCAAUAUAACCUCUAAUCUUUGCCAAAUGGACAACAACAUGUUUGUAACUCCUUAAAGAAAGCUGUGGGUUGCAUUUGUGGUCGAGAUUCGAUGUUUUUCAAGCUUGACUUGGCUCAAACUUUAUGUUGUAUUUCACACUCCAUCUUGGUAUAAAUGUUGCAUCAGCUGUAUCGAUUAGUUUAGAAAUUGCUUGGAAUUCCUCUGGUUUCUCUUGUUUAAGGUAUUUGGGAUUGUUUUUGUGUUGAUAUAUUGUGAUGUAUGAAAGAUAUGUCAAAUUAGAUUGCUUUUUAAUACAGG